rnacentral:rRNA from 2 species
UAGAGUUUGAUCCUGGCUCAGGACGAACGCUGGCGGCGUGCCUAAUACAUGCAAGUCGAGCGGAUUGAUGGGAGCUUGCUCCCUGAUAUCAGCGGCGGACGGGUGAGUAACACGUGGGCAACCUGCCUGUAAGACUGGGAUAACUUCGGGAAACCGGAGCUAAUACCGGAUAAUCCUUUUCCUCACAUGAGGAAAAGCUGAAAGACGGUUUCGGCUGUCACUUACAGAUGGGCCCGCGGCGCAUUAGCUAGUUGGUGAGGUAACGGCUCACCAAGGCGACGAUGCGUAGCCGACCUGAGAGGGUGAUCGGCCACACUGGGACUGAGACACGGCCCAGACUCCUACGGGAGGCAGCAGUAGGGAAUCUUCCACAAUGGACGAAAGUCUGAUGGAGCAACGCCGCGUGAGCGAUGAAGGCCUUCGGGUCGUAAAGCUCUGUUGUUAGGGAAGAACAAGUAUCGGAGUAACUGCCGG